rnacentral:misc_RNA from 1 species
GAAAUGCGAUAAGUAAUGUGAAUUGCAGAUUUUCAGUGAAUCAUCGAAUCUUUGAACGCACCUUGCGCUCCUUGGUAUUCCGAGGAGCAUGCCUGUUUGAGUGUCAUUAAAUCCUCAACCCCACCGAUUUGUUUCGGGGGGAUUGGACUUGGAGUGUGCUGGCGAAGGUCGGCUCCUCUUUAAAUGCAUCAGUGGAGAAGAAACUCGCCCCAGUGUGAUAAUCCUGUUGCGCUGUGGUGGGGUGAAAGUCCGCUUCCAACCGUCCUCCGGGACAAGACAUCAUCUCAAUUUGACCUCAAAUCAGGUAGGACUACCCGCUGAACUUAA